rnacentral:lncRNA from 1 species
CUUCAGGUCAGUGACUGGUGAACUCCCUCAGGAGGAGUUUCAUCUCCAACCUUAGGGGACUUAAAGCCAUUCUUGUGUCACAGUUCUUCUGCCUUUGUUCCAUCUUUGCUCAGGUACAAAGGACUUCUUUGACACACUGGUCAGCAUGUCAGAACAGAAAGGAAUGCAUUUUUUUCACUGUUAAUCAUCAGUGUAUGAGUUAGGAAGUUUUGUGUGUAUGUUAGGAAGUUAUAAAUGAAAUCUUCAACGAACUUCAGAAGUGGAAACAGAGACCAUGGCAAAGUGAACCACAAAAUUCUGUACUUAUGAAGCAAUUUCAGAGAGCAGCUCUGAAAGAAUUGCUCAAGGGGACAAACACAAAAAAACUGUCACAAGGCGAUGAGAGGAACACCAGGCUCAUUUCCAAAGAAAUGCACCAACAGGCAUCUCCCAUGCUAUGCCUACAUCUGAAUAACAUUUUUGUAUUUUUUAAUAUUCAAAAAGACUUUUUC